rnacentral:rRNA from 1 species
GACGAACGCUGGCGGCGUGCUUAACACAUGCAAGUCGAACGGAAAGACCCUGCUUUUGUGGGGUGCUCGAGUGGCGAACGGGUGAGUAACACGUGAGUAACCUGCCCUUGACUUUGGGAUAACUUCAGGAAACUGGGGCUAAUACCGGAUAGGAGCUCCUGCUGCAUGGUGGGGGUUGGAAAGUUUCGGUGGUUGGGGAUGGACUCGCGGCUUAUCAGCUUGUUGGUGGGGUAGUGGCUUACCAAGGCUUUGACGGGUAGCCGGCCUGAGAGGGUGACCGGCCACAUUGGGACUGAGAUACGGCCCAGACUCCUACGGGAGGCAGCAGUGGGGAAUAGUGCACAAUGGGCGGAAGCCUGAUGCAGCAACGCAGCGUGCGGGAUGACGGCCUUCGGGUUGUAAACCGCUUUCGCCUGUGACGAAGCGUGAGUGACGGUAAUGGGUAAAGAAGCACCGGCUAACUACGUG